CAAAUAUUUAUGCUACUAUUUCAAAUAUUGUAGCUCAACUAACAUUUUAGAAGAGUCAUUCAUACUUCUUCUUUUUUUUUUUUUAAGACAAAUCUCAUUAACUUUUGUCAUGUAGUUUCGAUGUUCGGGUAGCAUUUGAAACUGAAGCCUUUGUAUCUAGAGAAAAAGUUGACGUCGAAGAAAGAAGUGAAUUUCAUGCUAUAAAUGCUCGUAUUUGAUAUUUAUACAUUUGAUUUCUAAAUAAUUAGACAAUUACAUACUAUCAAUUCUAAUUAUAAUGCAAUCUAUAUACAAUGCACUGGGAGUUACAUUUAGUAAAAGGAAAAGUGAAAUCUGUUUGCAAUUUUGUUUAAUUGGGAGGUUAAUUGAAUCUUGUUGAAAAUCUUUGUGAGUAUUCUUGAUGCGAUCAUCACCCAUAUAUGUUUUGUUUAGUUUGAAUUCGGCUUGUAUUAAUGGGUUUGACCCAAGACAAUUUACUUUCUGGAUUUGUCGAGUUCUCUAUUUACAUAGAUUGGUAAGGUAUUUUCAAAGGAGAUAAUGAUUGAUGAAUGUGAAUGAAAUGCUUCGUUAACAAGUUUUCUCCUGUCUUCCUCCCUAAAUCUCUACUUCUUCGGUCUUCUCCCCACAUUCUCCCGGGUACUCUCCCCUUUCUUGCUUCUCUUCUUCUUCCCUUUCUUCUUCUCUUGUUCUUCUUCUUAUAUUGCUUUUCUCUUUCUCUAUUAAAUAUUUCCAUUGAUAAAUCAUAUUUUCGUAUCAUAGCUAAAACCAGGAUUUUGCUGUUAAAGAAGGUUGAAACUGUAAUUGCUAAAACAACCACCAACAACAACCGCUGACAGCUUCUUUUGGUUAAAAAAAUAAAUAAAUAAAUUAGCUCCUGUUGAGUUUUUGAUACCCAAUAAAUCCCGGGUUAUGAUGUUAACGU
rnacentral:lncRNA from 1 species